rnacentral:rRNA from 1 species
AGUGAACGCUGGCGGUAGGCCUAACACAUGCAAGUCGAACGGCAGCACAGGAGAGCUUGCUCUCUGGGUGGCGAGUGGCGGACGGGUGAGGAAUACAUCGGAAUCUACUCUGUCGUGGGGGAUAACGUAGGGAAACUUACGCUAAUACCGCAUACGACCUACGGGUGAAAGCAGGGGAUCUUCGGACCUUGCGCGUUUGAAUGAGCCGAUGUCGGAUUAGCUAGUUGGCGGGGUAAGGGCCCACCAAGGCGACGAUCCGUAGCUGGUCUGAGAGGAUAAUCAUCCACCCUGGAACUCGUACACGGUCCAGCCUCCUACGGUAGGCAGCAGGGGGGAAUAUUGGACAAUGAGUGCAAACCUGUUCCAGCCCUACCGCGUGGGUAGAGAAGGCCUGCGGGUUGUAAAGCCGUUUUGUUGGAAAAGAAAGCCGGCUGGUUAAUACCCGGUUGGGCUGACGGUACCCAAAGAAUAAGCGCCGGCUCACUGCGUGCCAGCAGCCGCAGUAA